rnacentral:lncRNA from 1 species
GGUGUUCAGUUUCCAAAAUUCCAUCUACCGUAAAUUAUUUUACUCUUUUUUUAUAUUCAUAAUUCAUAAUCAAGGUUAAAAAAUAAUUUAGCCAAAACAUCAAACGUCCACUGUAUUUACAGUUAAUCAAAACAUUUGUUGUCUUUGAAAGAUUGCUUCAAAAUUUCUAUUUGAAGAGUGCCGACGACUGCAUGCGGAAUGGCUAUAUUUAAAUUAUAUGACAAGUUAACCAGUGCAAUGACCUAAAAUGAGCAUCCUAUUCAAGUCUACCCCGUGUGCAAGUCUGCAGUAAAUAUUUCAUUCAUAAUUCUCGUAAAGUAUGGACAGCUAAGAAGACCUAUUAAUUAAAAGUAACUCUAGAAUGGCCAAUUUAUGAAAGAGUAUUCUUUAUCAGUAUACAAUCUGAACAGGGAUAAAUUAUGAGAAUUAAAAUGUCAUAAAAGGUGUGUAUUAGGAAGAUUUUAUUUCAUUACAGGUGCAAAACGAUAGGCAACAAAUAAUACCUGGACAAGUAGAUAUAAUCUAAUUAUCAUAUUGUGAUUUCUUAUCUGAUGAUAUAUACAACACAUUGUGCAUUCAGAAGUCAUCAUACAUAUGUCAAAAUGGGAUAUAGAGAAGGUUCCUGCUUGUGCACGGUGUUGCAGUAAGC